UUAAUGAGUCUAGUUUCUUAUAAAAGAAACCAUGUAAGCAAAAUAAUUUUAGAUAAUGAGAUAUUUGAAGUGGAGUGAGACAGAGUCAAAAUGACUUUGAAAUCCCCUGUUCUAUCUUUAGAAAAUCAUUGUAAAUUGUACAAUGAUGAUUAUAAGAUAAAAUUUAUAUUCUUAGACUCCUUAAUGAGACUAGUUUCAAAUGAAGUAAACGAUAACAUAUUUCGAAUUCUGUAUAAUGAGAAAAUUGAUUUGUAGUGAAGAGUGGUCAGAAUAGUCAAACAGUGAAACAGAGGAAACUUCAAUAAAAAUAUGGUAUUGAUUGGUCAAACCAAAAAUUCUGAAAAUUUUAUGGAUGGAAGAUAUAUAAGUCUAUUUUCAGGAAAAAUUAACGGCACUUUAUUUGGAGUUUCUUAUCUCCAGUUAUAAAUAAUUUAGUGACUGUUGCUCAGGAAAACAGCUUGUAGUGAAUUUGUGAUUUUGUUGCAAACAUGGUUAAAACUAGUUAAUGAGAUACUUUUCGAGUUCUUAUGAUCUUAUUUGUGAUUUCAAUAUUU
rnacentral:lncRNA from 1 species